rnacentral:misc_RNA from 1 species
AAGGAGUCUAACAGGCCUGCGAGUAUUUGGGUGGAAAACUCGAAUGCGUUAUUAAAGUGAAAGUUGAGAUCUCUGUCGUGGAGAGCAUCGACGCCCAUACCUGAUCCUCGGUGACGGCUAUGCGGUAGAGCAUGUAUGUUGGGACCCGAAAGAUGGUGAACUAUGCCUGAAUAGGGUGAAGCCAGAGGAAACUCUGGUGGAGGCUCGUAGCGAUUCUGACGUGCAAAUCGAUCGUCGAAUGUGGGUAUAGGGGCGAAAGACUAAUCGAACCAUCUAGUAGCUGGUUCCUGC